AUCAGCAGGCAUCUGCACACGGCAAUGGGAAGAAGAAGGUAACAUGGCAUGGCAGCAAAUGCAGUAAGCACCAUGAAGCUACUCACUUCAUGAGGGACAAACUUGUUGCUUGGGUGAGCAGAAACCUGAUUCUGGGAUCCUGCUGGGAAGGACGACUGGGGGUCUCGUGAGAAAGUGGUUUUGCUGCUAUAGGACUCUGGCCAGAGAGGCCGUAGGAAGGUUCGUCAGUGUAGAGCACAGACCAGGGGAUCAUGUGUGAGGCAGCAUGGCUUCAGCUGGAGGAGGAGGAGUGGGUGAGUCACCCUUUCUAAUCACUUGUACUGAUGUUUUCAUUUCCAAAGAAUGGUUUCCGGGGAGCCUCAGUGAAGAAGAGGACGACCCUCCAGUGAGACUCCCCCUGACCACCUAGGCAUCGCCAGCACCUUCUGUAUAGUAGAGACCUUCAAUCAGCAUCAGGGUCUUAAGAAAACAUCAGAGAGUGAGAUGGAGCUCCCCUGUGAAGUGAAGACAGCCCUGG